rnacentral:rRNA from 1 species
GAUGAACGCUAGCUACAGGCUUAACACAUGCAAGUCGAGGGGCAGCGGGAUUGAAGCUUGCUUCAAUUGCCGGCGACCGGCGCACGGGUGAGUAACGCGUAUCCAACCUUCCGUACACUCAGGGAUAGCCUUUCGAAAGAAAGAUUAAUACCUGAUGGUAUGAUGAGAUUGCAUGAUAGCAUCAUUAAAGAUUUAUCGGUGUACGAUGGGGAUGCGUUCCAUUAGGUAGUAGGCGGGGUAACGGCCCACCUAGCCUACGAUGGAUAGGGGUUCUGAGAGGAAGGCCCCCCACAUUGGAACUGAGACACGGUCCAAACUCCUACGGGAGGCAGCAGUGAGGAAUAUUGGUCAAUGGGCGAGAGCCUGAACCAGCCAAGUAGCGUGAAGGAUGACUGCCCUAUGGGUUGUAAACUUCUUUUAUACGGGAAUAAAGUUUCCUACGUGUAGGAUUUUGUAUGUACCGUAUGAAUAAGCAUCGGCUAACUCCGUGCCAGCAGCCG